UACGUGCCAGCAGCCGCGGUAAGACGUAGGACGCAAGCGUUAUCCGGAUUUACUGGGCGUAAAGCGCCUGUAGGCGGUCAAGUAAGUCGGAUGUGAAAGCCCCGUGCUCAACGCGGGGAAGCCAUUCGAUACUGCGUGACUAGAGAACGGCAGAGGGAAACGGAAUUUCUGGUGUAGCGGUAAAAUGCGCAGAGAUCAGAAAGAACACCGAUGGCGAAGGCAGUUUCCUAGGCCGCAUCUGACGCUGAGAGGCGAAAGCUAGGGGAGCAAACAGGAUUAGAGACCCUGGUAGUCCUAGCUGUAAACGAUGGAUGCUAGGUGUGGGCCGGAAAGGUCCGUGCCGUAGUUAACGCGAUAAGCAUCCCGCCUGGGGAGUACGGCCGCAAGGCUAAAACUCAAACGAAUUGACGGGGACCCGCACAAGCAGCGGAGCGUGUGGUUUAAUUCGAUGCUACGCGCAGAACCUUACCUGGGCUUGACAUGUAGGUGGUAGUGAAGUGAAAGCGGAGCGACCCUUCGGGGAGCCUACACAGGUGCUGCAUGGCUGUCGUCAGCUCGUGCCGUGAGGUGUCGGGUUAAGUCCCGUAACGAGCGCAACCCUUGUCCUUAGUUACAAGUGUCUAAGGAGACUGCCGGUGACAAACCGGAGGAAGGUGGGGAUGACGUCAAGUCAGCAUGGCCCUUAUGUCCAGGGCGACACACACGCUACAAUGGUCGGUACAAUGGGCAGCGCAGCCGCGAGGUGAAGCGAAUCCCAACAAAGCCGAUCCCAGUUCGGAUUGCAGGCUGCAACCCGCCUGCAUGAAGCCGGAGUU
rnacentral:rRNA from 1 species